CAGCUUUACACAAUGAUUACGUUUGAGAUCAGCGUUGGAUGGUUAGUCAGUCAGUGACGCAGCAUCUGAUUUGGCAAUAUAAUCAACAUAAUUGCGAAGCCUCUGAAACGGAUACGACCGCAGCGGAGCUCUCGGUGAAUGGCACAUCCGGGACCGUCGGCGCUCAGGAGACAUUUAAUCCUUCGACACGCACCUCAUGAGCUAAAGUUGGCUAAUUAGCUAGCUAAUCAACCUAUUUGCAAAGCUUCUGAGACGGAUGUGACGCAGCGGAGCUCUUGGUGAACGGCACAUCCUGGACCUUCAGCGCUCAGGAGACAUUUAACCUUCGACACGCACCUCAUGAGACACCCAGUUUUCAGGUUCUGACUCAACCUUCUGCAAACCAAGAAGUGAGCGAGAGAUCCACUUCAUCCUUCUAACAGACACCAAGUGUUCAGAUCCCGACUCAACCUUCUGCAGACCAAGAAGUGAGCGAGGGAUCCACUUC